rnacentral:rRNA from 1 species
AUUGAACGCUGGCGGCAUGCCUUACACAUGCAAGUCGAACGGCGGCACGGGUGCUUGCACCUGGUGGCGAGUGGCGAACGGGUGAGUAAUAUAUCGGAACGUACCUUAUUGUGGGGGAUAACGCAGCGAAAGCUGUGCUAAUACCGCAUAAUCCCUAAGGGGGAAAGCGGGGGACCGUAAGGCCUCGCGCAAUUAGAGCGGCCGAUACCUGAUUAGCUAGUUGGUGAGGUAAAGGCUCACCAGGGCAACGAUCAGUAGCUGGUCUGAGAGGACGGUCAGCCACACGGGGACAGAGACACGGCCCAGACUCCUACGGGAGGCAGCAGUGGGGAAUUUUGGACAAUGGGGGAAACCCUGAUCCAGCAAUGCCGCGUGAGUGAAGAAGGCCUUCGGGUUGUAAAGCUCUUUUGUCAGGGAAGAAACAGCAGCUCUAACACAGUUUGCGAAUGACGGUACCUGAAGAAUAAGCACCGGCUAACUACGUGCCAGCAGCCGCCGUAA